rnacentral:rRNA from 1 species
GACGAACGCUGGCGGCGUGCUUAACACAUGCAAGUCGAACGGAAAGGCCCUGCUUGCAGGGUACUCGAGUGGCGAACGGGUGAGUAACACGUGGGUGAUCUGCCCUGCACUUCGGGAUAAGCCUGGGAAACUGGGUCUAAUACCGGAUAGGAGCCAUUUUGAGUGUGAUGGUUGGAAAGUUUUUUUCGGUGUAGGAUGAGCUCGCGGCCUAUCAGCUUGUUGGUGGGGUAAUGGCCUACCAAGGCGGCGACGGGUAGCCGGCCUGAGAGGGUGGACGGCCACAGUGGGACUGGGAUACGGCCCAGACUCCUACGGGAGGCAGCAGUGGGGAAUAUUGCAAAAUGGGCGCAAGCCUGAUGCAGCGACGCCGCGUGGGGGAUGACGGCCUUCGGGUUGUAAUCUCCUUUCGCUAGGGACGAAGCUUUUUGUGACGGUACCUAGAUAAGAAGCACCGGCUAACUACGUG